GUUUUUCCCAGUCCACCCAUUUUCCUUUUCCACCCAAUUUGUUGCUUUUUUUGUGAUAAAAUAAAACCCACUCUCGCUUUCAUCGGAGAAGAGAAGCGCAAAGUUGCAGAAGAUGGGUUUCGCGAUGCAAUGCUCAAGCUAUGGCUCUUGUAUUUCUAUUUCUGUCCCUCAUCGGUUUCCACAAACCCCUCUAUCUUUUCACGCUUACCACUGGAACCAAUUCCAGACUGCGCGAAAGAAUCAGAGGAUAACGGUUCUUUGUGGGUCGGACCAGCGAAGCUCCAACCUAGGUUCUGAGAGGAAAAGAAAAAUCGUGGAACAUGUUUGUCUGCUCAAAGCAAAGCAGGAAUUAUCAGAAGAGGAAGAGAACGACAUGCUGGAUUACUUGUACACUACGCAGUACCAAAUGGGUGGUGUUGUUGCAAUUUCAUUAGGGCGCGUUUCUGCUCCAAAUCCAGAGCGUUACACGCAUGCGCUGUUUAUGCGCUUUCAGAAGAAGCAAGAUCUUGAAAAGUUUUAUGAGAAUCCCUUUUACUUGAAGGUUCUCAAGGAUCAUGUACUGACUUACUGCCAUGGAUUAGUCAAUGUGGAUUUUGAAUCGGAAGUGGAUGAUGAGAUGCUUUCUAUAUUUCGCAAAGGAGAGGAGUUCAACCAUGGAGUGGAGUUUCUGCUUCUGAUAUCAUUUAAUGAGACUGCAGUGAGUAACCAGGCAGAGGAUGCAUUGGCCUCUCUGGCAUCGAUUAUGUCGGAAUCUCCUUCCUUGAUAGUCCAAUUUACUCAUGGUUUGAAUUUCAGUCCAAGCUCUAAGGAGUAUACUCAUGGAAUUGUGAUACGAUUUCGAUCAGUUGAGGCAUUUGAGAUAUUUAUGAACAGCAAAGAGUACAAAAAUGUAUGGCAUUCUAAGUUCCAGCCUAUUGCUUACAAAUCUUUGUCUCUUCAUUUUUCUGUUGAUCCUGUGGGAACAGAAAUUAUGUAGUGAGGAUUUUUAUGGUUGUCAACAAGAGAUGCGGCUUGGUUUCCUCUUUUUAGAAACAAGGAAGAAGUUCAACCACUACGGUCAACGACAAUAGUAAUGAACCUUCCUGUGAGGGGAGGACUUGGAUGGGUGAUCUUGAGAUAAGAGUCUAUUCAGGAGAUGCUUUAUUUUUCCCCUGCAACCGCACUAAAAGAUUUCCUUUUUACCAAUUUAUAACAAUAUGGCAUUAACUUCUCGAUUUCAAUUUUUUUCGUUGUUGUUGACAAAGUUUGGUUUUCAACCGAGCUGUUAUAUUGUGUAAUCCGUGUAGUCAAUUUCAUCUAGCGAGAUUAGUUGUUGACAAAGAUUGAGCCAGUAUUCAUGUAUGUCUACAUACUGUUACCUUCGCUACUAGCACUUAUCAUUUUUUUACAUCCUUGGCAAUCACAUCGAAUCUAAUACGCACUAAAAUGAAAAGUUGUAGUAUCCUUUUGUUAGGAGACUUACACAAUAAUUAGCAAAAUUUACAAUUUCUUACUACCUAGACUAGUUCAUUUAUGAAAGAUUGUUAUAAAAGAGAUUAAUGGCUUUUCAUGAGUCACUAAGCUAAAAUUAAUAAAGACAAGUAUUAGCGAGGCUCCUGCAAAAAAUAUGGAAAUGUUGGGUUGGAUUUCUCUGAACACCGUACUCUUGCAUUUCUCCAUGUUGAGCUUAAAAGGAAUGAGAAUUUGGGUUGUAAUCUGGACU